UUUAAAACAGUUGAGCAUUGA
rnacentral:piRNA from 1 species